rnacentral:rRNA from 1 species
AGAGACUGCAAGCGUUAUUCGGAUUCACUGGGCGUAAAGGGUGCGCAGGCGGCCAAGUGUGUCAGAUGUGAAAUCCCGAGGCUCAACCUCGGAACUGCGUCUGAAACUACUUGGCUAGAGUACUGGAGAGGGUAACGGAAUUCACGGUGUAGCAGUGAAAUGCGUAGAUAUCGUGAGGAACACCAGAGGCGAAGGCGGUUACCUGGACAGUUACUGACGCUCAGGCACGAAAGCAUGGGGAGCAAAAGGGAUUAGAUACCCCUGUAGUCCAUGCCCUAAACGGUGCACACUAGGUCUUGGUGGAUUCGACCCCCCCAGGGCCCAAGCUAACGCGUUAAGUGUGCCGCCUGAGGACUACGGUCGCAAGACUAAA